GCGGCACCCCCUCUUACGGCUCAGGUCCUCCCCCUAUCCUCCCCGCAGCUUGCUCCACGGUUGCCGGGAGCUCUAUCACUACCGUGUUUGCGUGAUUGUGCGGUCGAAGGAAACAACGCAUCAAGAGCCCAUCGAAGGCCCAUCACUGCCUUGCUUUGGCGCCACGAGAGAACCCACACACCAACACACGCAAGAAAGGGGGGAAAGAAUAAGCACCAUGAUUACAACCGCUGCGUCGAGUGCGGUGGUGGCCGUCGAGAAACGGAACCUCGUCAUGUACGUCGGUAACCGCGUGAAGGUGACGCUGGAUGACGCGAGCGUCCUGACCGGCCGCCUCGUUUCGCUGAGCAGCUGUGGAAAUCUCAUCCUCACCGAUGUGGAGCGUCAGCGCAUUCUCAAGCGCCGCCGCAAUCGCGACGGGGUACAUGAAACAGCCCGUGAGUGCUACGCUGCCGUUCUCUUUGUGCGCGGCAGCUCUGUCGUCUCCGUUGGCUACGAUAGCGGCAUUACUACAGAUAAAUCGGUGAUUGACCACGUUGGAGGGCGGGAGGCGAACAGCUCGCGCAUGGUGCAGCUCGCAAACGCCGCCCCGUCGACACGGUGAGGGAUUGAGUAACGGAUACCCGUGGUAUCUAUCGGCGCCGACCCAUCUUCUCUCGGAGAGCAGCUUCCGUUUUUUCGGUGAUGGUGUUUGUUGACAACCGCACAGAAAUCUGAAAGAAACAAACGACUACACUGUGUUUGCACAGGCGGCAGCGGUGAUGGGCAGCCGCAGCACUGCUGCAUCUCCUCGCAUAAUGACACACAGGCACCAUAGCGGCACCUUCUUUGUCCGUCUGCCUCUGCACAUCACGAGCGAUGACGUUGGCGGCUGGCUGGGUCGAUGGACAAGUGCGCACUGCAUUACUUUCUGGACGCUUCGCUACACCGGUUUCCUCCCUUCUAUGCUCUUAUGGCGCAUGCACGCUCUUGUGUUCUUUCCAUUGACCUCCUUUAUUUCGUUUUUCUUUUUGUAUAUCAUUCUCCAG
rnacentral:misc_RNA from 1 species